AGUGGAGUUAUGAGGCUUCUCCUUUCUCCCUCCCCCGAGCAGUUCCAAAAACCUCAUAAAACCCCUCCCUUCAACGCAGAGAGAAAACUGGGAAAUUACAGAAACCAGUUCGAGUUAAAAAUGGCUACUCAGUUACCGGACGAUUUCAAGUGCCCGAUUUCUCUCGAGAUAAUGUCCGACCCCGUAAUUCUCUCAUCGGGUCACACCUUUGACCGUGCUUCUAUCCAACGGUGGCUUGACUCUGGCCACCGUACUUGCCCAAUUACUAAGCUACCUCUUCCCGACCAUCCUCCUCUCAUCCCCAACCAUGCUCUUAGAAGUCUGAUUUCCAAUUAUACCCUCCUCUUCCCUCCAAAAUCACAGCUUAACGCUUCACCGCCGCCAUCAAAACCACAGCCUCAAACCCUAUUCUCCACUCUCACUUCUCCGUCUUCUCCUCUCAACUCCAAGCUUGUCUUGCUCUCCCAGCUCACGAGACUCACCAAGCUCGACCAUGGCCUUCGCCGCCAGCUGACAGAGUCUGGAGCCGUAUCCGCUGUUCUCAACUGUGUCAGCUCGCCGGAGUCGGUCCUCCAAGAGAAAGCCCUCUCUCUAUUACUCAAUCUCUCUCUCGACGAUGAUAAUAAGGUGGGUCUAGUGGCGGAAGGUGCAAUUGGCCGGGUCGUCACAGUUCUGCGGGUUGGAUCGCCGGAUAGCCGUGCCAUAGGUUGCACUAUCUUGACCAGUCUGGCAGUCGUAGAAGUAAACAAAGCGACAAUUGGGGCGUAUCCAAAUGCAAUUCAAGCGUUGGUCACGCUACUAAAUUAUGGGAAUGGUAGAGAGGUGAAAGAAGCAGCAACAACGUUGUAUGCUAUCUGUUCAUUUCCGGAUAACAGAAGGCGGGCUGUGGAAUGUGGGGCGGUGCCAAUUUUGGUGAGGAUAGGCGGGAUGGGUCUGGAGAGAGCAGUGGAAGUCUUGAGCAUGUUGGUGAAGUGUAAGGAAGGGAGAGAAGAGAUGGGGAGGAUUGGUGGGUGUUUGAGGGUUUUGGUGAAGGUGAUUAAGAAUGGGAGCAAGAGAGGGAUUCAGUGUGGGCUUUUCACUUUGAAUUAUUUGUGUUGUUACAGUGAGGAAAUGUGUGGGGAAGCCAAGAGAGAAGGGGUUUUGGAGAUAUGUUUGGGGUUGGUGGAGGAUGACAACGAGAAGGUAAGCAGGAAUGCUUCCAGUUUGGUGCAAACGCUAAGUGGGUGCCGCUUGGUGGAGUGAUGGAGGGUCGCUGUCGGUUAUGGAUGGAGGUGGGGAAAUUUUGAUGGGAAGAAGUCUCUGUUCUAAAGAAUCUAAUUUCUGAAGCUUGCAAUGAUGAUUUAGUAAUUUAGUCAAAAUCAUUAGAUGGAAGGGAACAAACAGGCUGACUUUUGUGGGUGGAUGAAGAAUUUGUUUGGCAGAUUGAAAGGGGUUCAGCACGAGUAGUAAAACUUGUAAUUGCUGAUGACGUGGAACAAAAUAAGUGGGUAAAAGAAGCAUCUUGCCUAAGUGAAUGUCUCCUCAUACAAGUAAAGUUUUAUACUUUCACUUUGCCAUCUCUUUUAUUGAUACUAAUUUCUUUCUAUUUUAAUGUUCUUCCUUCUCCAUUUCUUUCUUUGACAAAGACAUUUCUCAAGAAAAUCAACUAUAUCAUCCAAGAAAUAAAGGCCAAGAGACUGGUUGGAUUCCUUUUUUUUUUUUUUUUUCUUUCUUGUGGGGUUUCAAUGAGGUUGGAGAUUCAUGCAAGUUAUUGUCUUUUCUUAAUCUAGAAAAUGAAAACUCCUUUUUUAUUUAGCAGAAUCUGUUUUCUUUGAUUAGCCAAUUUUGCAGUGGCUUGGAUUGAAAGUUUGCUCUUACUUAACACCUCUCUUGUAUCUAGUGUGAAACUAUGAUAUUGAUUAGAUUCUCUAUGUAUGAUUAGACAUAUCACUAAUUUCAUCAUGCUUUCGGUUUUUUAA